rfam:Myotis brandtii contig162316, whole genome shotgun sequence.
AAAGAGCAUACAAAUAUUGUAAGAACUUUGUAGAAUCUGAGGGAAAAAAAUAAACAGAAAAUAGAAGGUCACCAACAGACCAUAGCAAGAAAUUAGAAAUCAAUCACAAAAAAAGCCCGUCAAAACUUCCAAUAAUUUAUGAGUUGAAGAAC